rnacentral:rRNA from 1 species
GAUGAACGCUGGCGGCGUGCCUAAUACAUGCAAGUCGAGCGAACAGAUGAGGAGCUUGCUCCUCUGACGUUAGCGGCGGACGGGUGAGUAACACGUGGAUAACCUACCUAUAAGACUGGGAUAACUUCGGGAAACCGGAGCUAAUACCGGAUAAUAUAUUGAACCGCAUUGUUCAAUAGUGAAAGACGGUUUUGCUGUCACUUAUAGAUGGAUCCGCGCCGCAUUAGCUAGUUGGUAAGGUAACGGCUUACCAAGGCAACGAUGCGUAGCCGACCUGAGAGGGUGAUCGGCCACACUGGAACUGAGACACGGUCCAGACUCCUACGGGAGGCAGCAGUAGGGAAUCUUCCGCAAUGGGCGAAAGCCUGACGGAGCAACGCCGCGUGAGUGAUGAAGGUCUUCGGAUCGUAAAACUCUGUUAUUAGGGAAGAACAAAUGUGUAAGUAACUAUGCACGUCUUGACGGUACCUAAUCAGAAAGCCACGGCUAACUACGUG